GCUGCGGGCUUUCCCUGCCCCCCCUGCACCAGUGCGGAAGGCAGAGUGUGCCAAGCGGCUGGCGUCUGUACCCUGUGGGAAAAGUUAACUGUAAUUCUUCGGCUUUUAAAAUCAAUUAACCCGUGUGUUAAUUAACGUCAAGUCGACGGGAGGAGGAGAAGAAGGGGAGGGCGGGAGAAAAGAAAAAAAAGCUGCAAGGGCGGAUGGCAGAAGAGUUGGCACGGUGCCAUCCAUUCAGGGGCAACGCCACAGUUUCGUGUGAUAGCAGCAGCGGGUAUAUGUUACCGGGCCCUGUAUGCGGGCCAGACAGUGCGGUAAAGCCAAGGGAGAUUAUCCAGACCCCCAGGAGCGAACAGCAAGCAGCAACGCAAGGCGCAAGUGCCAGGAUUACAGCCCAGGCUGCUCCAACUAUGAGCCCUUCCUUGGACCCUGGGAAUCGGCUACUUGGGGUUUUGGGGUCUUCCACACCAAAGAAGCACAAAGCUGACUUUAAUCACUUUUUUCAUUUAAACUUGAUUCUGCCGCAGUGGAAGAGCCAGCACGGCGGAUGUUUUCACACCCAGCAAGACAAAGGCCGUUGUCUCCGCCAUGACACCAUUCCGUUCCAAGCAGAGGCCGGGGUCCUGGACAUCUUGAAAAAUCAAAAAGAAACAAGGAAAACAAACAACAGAUACAGCGACAGUCAGAGAAAAUCAUCAACCACCCAAACUGUUUGUCCGUUGCCCAUGCCAAGGGUGAUGUGGGCAUCUGUUGCAGCAGAAGGCACUUGUGUGGGCUAUUUUUGUUUUUUCAUUAAUUUUUUUUUGAGAGGGCAAGCUACUGGCUUAUUUGCUACUCAACUUCGUUUAUAAUUAACUUAAAAAAACAACAACAACAACACACCGUUCAGCCAAGUCAACAACAAAGAGGAAAGGCAGACAUCGGAAGAGAAAUGCCUGAGGAAUCGGCAUGAAUGCAUGCCACAGCCGGUACCACUUGCCAUUCGGAAAACCUCAGGGAAAGAUGCCAAUUUUAUAGCUCCGAAGAAGGCAGAGAAGGAAACAUAAAGGUCUACAGAUAGAAAUUCUAAGGAAGGAAUACUGCUUUCCCAAUCCUGGAUGGAAAUGGCACACAGCCUCUGCUGAGAGAAAAGAGGGAAUGUUUAAAAGGAGCUAUCUAGAUGGGUAGACGUGAAAACAGGCAACCAUCGAGUGCAUAUAGAGAUGUGUGUAAGGCUCUGCGUGUAUACAAAUACACAGACUCUCUGACAAACUGAAUGCUUAGCUAUGUAUAUAUUUUCAUGCUAUAGGUAUGGGUACGUAUAUAGGUGUAUAUGGUUUGCACUUACACGUGUGUGGGGUGGUGUAUGCAUGUCUGAGAAGUGGGAGAGGAUGGCAGAGGAAAGACUGGGAGAUCUGAGUAUGUACUUGUAUGUGUGUGUGUAUGCAUCCCACUCUCUAACCCAGGUACACACAGAAGACAAAAUAAAAAUCAUACUGGAGCAGCAAGCAGGCAGCCAGAGAUUUAUCUACAUUCGCUGCUAUCACCGGGGAGAUGAAUGGGGUCGUCUGAAGCCCCUUUACAAGAUCCACUAUGGGAGUGGAGGAGGAGGAGGAGGAGGAGGAGGAGGAGGAGGAGGAGGGAUGCCACACACACAAGUACAAACUUGAAGGCAGAGAGAUUUGGAAGGGGCUACCAGGCAAACCCUGGUGGCAUGAUGCUGAGGAGCAGAAGGGAAAAGAGCCUUGUCUCUAUGUUUUAGGUGCUUAAGGAAAAAAAAAAAAAAAAAAGACAUCCUGCAAAAGGGUCUGAGGGAAGCGGCUGGUACUCACGGUUUCUGCGUUGCUGUGAAUCCUGAAGGUGUUCUGUUGGCACCGGGCGCUGAGCCAGGGGCAGGCGCUGGAAACAAAAGGGAGACACACACACAAAAAUUAAAGUCAAUUCAAUGGGAAUAUUAAUUGCUGCUCUUGUGGAUUUUACAAAACACACAAACUGUUUUCAUUUUUGUUCUUUUUCUUUUUUUUUUUUUCUUUUAAUUGUGGAUUGGCGCGUGCCCCUUUCGCAUGGAAUAUACAAGUAGUUUGGGAUUUACAGUCCAGUUACGGGACUCAGGAUUAACUGCGCUGGCAUCUUUUGGGCAUAUCCUUCCUUUUAAUGAAUAAGCUUUCGCUGUUAAUGAGGAAUAAUCGUUUGGCUAAUGAGCUUUGAAACAUUAAGAGAAAAGAGGUUUUUUCCCCCCGUUAAUCGCUCUGGUGCGACUGCAUGGAUGGAUUACAAAAGACAGCACUAGUGCAGUACAAAGGUUGGGGGAGCUCCUUGGGAGUGGGAGAAGCACCGAGUGGGAGAUGUGCCCCUGCAUCUCUUCUUCCUUCUCUCUUUCCCCUCUCUCUGCCAACUGCUAUGGGUUUCCAUAACUCCGCAAUCGAAGUGGAUGGUCGGGAAGGAUUAUUAUACAGAGUAAAGCCUCCGCUGUUAAUGUCUCCAGUGUUUAAUCAUCAUACAGUAGGAUGGUUUUAUGCAUAUUUCAUUUGCAUAUCAUUAAACUACGUUAGCGAGGGGGCACCCAGAGCCGAGAGGAGCACAAAGUUGGGAAGACAGGGAAGGAAAAAGAGAUUCCCUAUGAUGCUUAUCUUCAAACGGGGGCUUGUUCCUUCCAUGAUGUGUCUUCUGCCUUUCUAAAAUCAUUAUGACUUGGAAACCUUUGAAGUUGGAUACAACCUUGGAUUCCUCUAAUUCCUGCAGAGCGGUAUAUUUUUAAGAUCGGCAGCAAUGUCCCUGCACUAGACAAUUAAAGGAAUAUAAACUCCAGUGGGCUGAGACUAGUAGCUCUUUGGGGAACACAGUGGCAGGAGCUUCUACAAAUACCAACACUUAAAAAAAAUCAUAAUAAAGAACGUCAUACCAAAAACAAAGAAAGAAGACAAGAGAUUUUAACAUGUGGAUUAUAUUUGUUUUGUUUGGGGGGUAAUAAGCUAAAGAGAGUGAAGAAGUCAUUGGUAAUUUAUCCCCUCAUUAAUGAAGUCACCCUUUUUAUUUGUGUUUGUUUUUGUCCUUUAAUUGUGAAGACCGGUGCUGUCGCAGUUUUGAAGAGGUUAACCAGUUAUUGUGUAGCUCUGAUCUUUCCCCCACCCCACACCUGACAGAAAAGAAAGGUGGUGGUUCGGGGAGUUGUGAGUACUGGGGAUGUCUGGGGGGAAGUGGGAAAUACAGUGAGUUCUUUGUGGAUCUUAUACAUGCUCAACAUAUUAAUUGAGGGCUUUUAAAGUUCCCUCAAUAGGCUAUUUCAUUCUUGGUAAACCAGCAGCUGGUUAGCCACUGUUGGUGACUCUUCAAAUAUCACUUUAACGAUUUUUUA
rnacentral:lncRNA from 1 species